AACGAACGCUGGCGGCGUGGAUAAGACAUGCAAGUCGAGCGAUUAUCACAGGGUAGCAAUAUUCUGUGGUGAGAGCGGCGCAAGGGUGCGUAACACGUGGGUAAUCUGCCAUGAAGUUUGGGAUAACUUGCUGAAAGGCGAGCUAAUACCGGAUGUGACCGUUGGGAGGCCUCUCUCGAUGGUCAAAGCUGGGGACCGAAAGGCCUGGCGCUUCAUGAUGAGCCCGCGGCCUAUCAGCUAGUUGGUGAGGUAACGGCCCACCAAGGCUAAGACGGGUAGCUGGUCUGAGAGGACGACCAGCCACACUGGAACUGAGACACGGUCCAGACACCUACGGGAGGCAG
rnacentral:rRNA from 1 species